UUUCAGGCUACCACACUUCUGCUAUUUGUCAUGGCUUGACGAGGCUGAUGCCGCUAAUUUGAUGAUACAAAAUAGCAACAGAGGUACACCUUGAUCCAUCAUUCAUCCACUCCAUUUCAGGUAGCAGUCAUGUAGUCAUCAAACGCGAGCGGAUUUUUUUCACCGCGUGCAUACAUGAUACAUCAAUUCAUCUUCACACACCUCUGUUCAUGUCCUUGCCACUGCCGCUGCGUGCUCCCCGCCUAUUGACACGACCCUGAGAGACAUGAGGGUGUCGGCGAUGGCGCUGACCAUAAACUUCCGCAGGGACGGACGAACAGAGCAUCGAGGUAGAGGAGCACGCUGAGGCGAUGGGCCAGAAGUUACCUCUGCCCGACGUGAGGUUCUGUCGGCAAUCGCUCGUUCUCCCUAGAGCCGAGCACGGUGCUUCACUGCAGCAAGUUGACCAUGACGCGGAUGAUUCCUUAAGUGGAGAUGUUCUUGAGCACGCCGACCGACAUCUGCAUUGCCGCCGUCGCCAUCCCGGACGACAACUUCCCCCGGAGGUCUGACACUGGAAAGGGUUUUGCACCGCCCCCUCUUCAAUCUACAGCCCUUCUCUGUACGGUGAAUCCUACUUUGUCUUCUCUCCCGUAAUUCUUAUCGUGGAAACAUCUCCACUUUAAAAUCAGGUCGGAGAAGGCAAGCAGCGUCCUCCACCCUGAAUUCUACUUUGCUUCGCCCUUAAAUCUCUCUCUCAAUUAAUUCCUUCCAUGAAAACACCUUAAAAAACUUCCUCCCAUGAAAAGAUCUCUCUCCCUAAAUUCCUCCCACAAAAAUCUCUCUCCUCUCUCUCAUGUACACCGUAGAAUGGGCGAGAUAAAAUAACAGAAUCAAAUUUGGUAGGUGGCGAGGGGAUUGAGUCCCGGUUUUGUUGGGGGAGAUUUUUUUCUGACAGCUGACCGUGCGAGGUGAAAAAACGGAAGGAGAGGGGAUUGAGUCCCGAUUUUGUGAGGGGAGAUUUUUUUCUGACCGCUGACCGUGCGACGUGAAAAAACGGAAGGAGGAACUGCAUCGUGGAGAGAAGGACCAAAACUUGACGUAAGAGGGGAGACGGAACCUUACAGGUCCUCUGAAAACUUUUGCCAGAGCAUGCAGCCAAACCAGGGCUAUCCGGGCUUCAGCUUCCUCCACACUGUCGGAAACUGGUAACUCAGAGUAUGUCGACAGAUACACUUAGCCUCUAAUGACUAUUCCGAAGGGACGUUGCAUGUUCCUAGAUGCAUAGAUUUUCAUUACACUGAGAUUUUUUUUAGGAAUAACAAUGAGAUUUAAGAUAUUAUUUUUUUCUGUAGAAUUCUCAAAUUGAAAUCCGAAUAAACCACCUUCAAAGGCCAACAUAGUGGCACUUAAAAUAUAAAAUAAAUGCUAAUCUGCACUGACGCUGCAAUCUGGUGCCCAAUCUUCUGGUGAUUUGGUCAAAGCUACAACCAAGGAAAGAAAUUUUACAUGCUAUAAGAACUAAGUUAUGAAUUUUGUGUUCCCAGGUCUAUAAUAUGCAUCCUUUGCCGGUUCCCUGCAAGCGCUUUCGACCAUGACCUCAAGUUCUGCAGCUAGGCCGUGAAUGUUUUGAUCCUUCUCACCCUACAUCGAUGAUGGCCCGACAGAAAUCAAGGAAGGAGAGAAGGAUGUUGUUGUCAUGGUCGUCGGAACGACUUGCCGUGGACGCAGUCAUGCACUGGAUGACAUCGACGGCUAGCCAUGGACGAGCAUCUCGCCGCCUCCGCAAAAUAUGGACGCAAGGGAUUCUGCUACUAACAUUUCAGAGUGUGUUGUGUUGCGGUGCUGUGACAUAUACACCUUCAGCGUGCGUAUAAUGUUGUCAGAUACUACUUUAGAUAAAUAACCACUGUAUUCUAUUGUAUGUGUAAUUGAAAUGUUCAUAUGUGUUUAACCAUCUGGCAAAGAGGCUCACUGGAUGUUUCUUACAAUAUUCUAUCUGUAAUAGACAUCUACGCAUGUAUUUAACCAUCUGGCAAAGAGGCUCAUUGGAUGUUUCAACAUUUACCUUUCUGGAAC
rnacentral:lncRNA from 1 species